UUCGGAAAUUUUGUUUGAGAGCAGCAGGAACAGGAAGAGAGUUUAUGAUCCCACACCUGGACUGUUGCCAGCUGACCCUGCCAACUUCAUCAGCAACUUGCAAGAAAUAUCUCCGAGCUGCCUUCUACUCCGCUAUGCAAAGAAGCCCAGGGCGGCAGAAGAAAGCACAACAGAGACCAUCGCUGCAAAAGUAAUAAAUGAUGGAUGCUGCAACCAGCCAUAUAUAGCCGACAGUGAAGAUUUGCUGAGCAUGACAAACUCGAGAAUUAUUCAAGAGAGAUUUGAUGCAAUUCAGCCCCUGAGCCUCGACGACAGGGCAGUCAUUUUAGAAAGCACAAUGGGCCAGGCAGAGAACAAGAAGUGGCAUCAGGAACGUAUUGGACGGCUCACGGCAUCAGUGUUUAAGAAGUUGCUGCGGUGCAGAAAGCCUGAUGGUGCCGUAAGGGACGUAAUGUAUCCUCGCCAAGUGAGCACCGAAGCCAUGCGUUAUGGCAGGAUUCAUGAGGACGAUGCCGUUAAAGCAUACGAAGAAAUAAUGGCAUGCAGGGACAGAUAUUUAACUACUGCAUAUACUGGGUUGCAUGUUCAUCCCCAGCACCCAUUUAUUGCUGCCUCCCCCGACAGACUUGUCUUUGAAGGGAGUGACACUGGUCUUUUGGAGGUGAAGUGCCCAUUCUCCUUCAAAGGCAAGGGUGUCGUCGAAGCAGCAGCUUCUGCAAAGUGCUGUUUGAAAAUAUCUGGUGACAAUAUAGAAUUGAAAAAAGAUCAUGCAUAUUAUUAUCAGAUACAAGGUAUGAUGGGUGUCACAGGUUUGAAGUGGUGUGAUUUUGUAGUAUGGACAAAUGCUGGAAGUGUAGCAGCCUCAACACAUGUGGAGAGGACUCCCUUUGAUGAAGUUCUUUGGUGUACAGAAAUUCUGCCUGGGUUGCUGCAUUUCUUCAAACAUUGCAUAGUGCCAGAGCUGCUCACUCGCAGAGUAAGCAGAGGACUCCCUCUUUACAAUGAAAAAAAAUAUAUUGGAUACAAAAAGAACACUGCAUAAUGCAUCGUUUGACUGCGUUAAGAGGACAAGGUCUUCAAUAUAAAGUGCAAUAAAU